UGAAGUCUUUGUAGAUUUAUUGAAAAACUAGUGUAGUUCAUACUUUCAUAAAAUCAACUUUAAUUAAGAUGAAAACAUCAAUAACCUCUUUGUUUGUAUUGACCAUCUUGGUCUGUGUAGUUCGCGAUUCAGAAGGCAUCUCUGCUUGGGCUGGUACAUCUCUAAAUGCUCGAAGGAGCUUGGAAAAGCGUCUACAAAAUUGUCAAGUUGUAACUACACAUUGUGAAGAUUUGAGAGAGAAAGUGAAACAAGCCGAUAGCCAACUGAAGAAAAGGUGGCCGAAAAUACGAGCUCAACCAAUGAAAGAAAAUCAAUUCGACUGGAAUGUAUAGUUUAUCUAAACUUGAGAGCAAAAAAAAAGAUCACUUUAGUCAAACCAAACUUUGUGUUAUCUAUAAUGAAUGAUUAUUUAUUGAAAAAUCUAUAUCUAAUUUAAAAUGAAACGAAAUUUGGAACAGUA